GAUGAACGCUGGCGGCGUGCCUAAUACAUGCAAGUCGAGCGAACGGACGAGAAGCUUGCUUCUCUGAUGUUAGCGGCGGACGGGUGAGUAACACGUGGAUAACCUACCUAUAAGACUGGGAUAACUUCGGGAAACCGGAGCUAAUACCGGAUAAUAUUUUGAACCGCAUGGUUCAAAAGUGAAAGACGGUCUUGCUGUCACUUAUAGAUGGAUCCGCGCUGCAUUAGCUAGUUGGUAAGGUAACGGCUUACCAAGGCAACGAUGCAUAGCCGACCUGAGAGGGUGAUCGGACACACUGGAACUGAGACACGGUCCAGACUCCUACGGGAGGCAGCAGUAGGGAAUCUUCCGCAAUGGGCGAAAGCCUGACGGAGCAACGCCGCGUGAGUGAUGAAGGUCUUCGGAUCGUAAAACUCUGUUAUUAGGGAAGAAAAUAUGUGUAAGUAACUGUGCACAUCUUGACGGUACCUAAUCAGAAAGCAACGGCUAACUACGUG
rnacentral:rRNA from 1 species